rnacentral:rRNA from 1 species
CACGCUGUAAACGAUGAUUACUCGAUGUUAGCGAUAUACUGUUAGCGUCUAAGCGAAAGCAAUAAGUAAUCCACCUGGGGAGUACGAUCGCAAGGUUGAAACUCAAAGGAAUUGACGGGGGCCCGCACAAGCGGAGGAGCAUGUGGUUUAAUUCGAUGAUACGCGAGGAACCUUACCUGGGCUUGAAUGCUAUACUCCCGCAAGGGAGGUGAUUACAGAAAUGUAGUUGAAAAUUGCAAGGUGC